GAUUGGAAGCGGCACCAGCUGAAAUUGGUUCCCGGUUUAUAAUAACAAAGGAAAGAACCGGCAUUUUUCUAGAAAUUUUAAUAGACGGUUUUCCCGUCUUGUGCUGUUUUUUAAGAGCUAAUCAAAUUCUAUUUUUGACGAAUUUUCGUUGAUUUGCCGCUACGUGCGAGUUGGCGUAAACAAAUUACUUAUACACAUUCAAAUGAAGAACAGCUAAUGGAACCACAUAUAUCUCAGACACGUGAAGUAUCAUAUGCAAAUGAUGAUGAUGAUGGUGAUGAAAAUGACAACGACGACCACGACGCCGCCGCCGCCCCGCCACCGCCGCCGAUGCUGCUCCUGCUGAUGAUGAUGAUGAUGCUGAUUAUGUUCAAUAUCACGACCGCAUUUGAACAUAGAUGUAGAAGUGGACCGCUAAACAUUAGAACUGACGUGUAUACAUGUACAUCGAACAAGCAUAAUAGGCUUCAAUUUAACCCUUUACCACUUAGAUACGUAUUUUCACGCAUUUGAAGUCCCUUGGAAAGUUAUAUUUAAUUUAAGACCUUUCUUACUCGAUUCAAGUUCUUAAGCCUUCAUCUACAAACAUUAGAUACUGAUGAGCAGCAAACAGCAUUAAACCUGAACAGACUGCGAGUUACUCGCAGGCUGUUCUGGUUUUAUGCUGUUUGCACAUAGCCAUUUCCACUUUGCUGAUAGGGAAAGGGUUAAACGAGUGUUCUGAUUAAAAAUAAGUAGCUUUUCUUCACAUGGACUGGGUAUUAAAGAUAAAGACCGCAGAAGCACAUUGGCAAUCGAAAUAGCGGGAAUUCUGUACCCCGCAAAUUCAUGUGUUGAACAUUACGUUAAGAAAAUAAGAACACUGUCAUUACAUUAUUCUUACAAAAUUCCUUGCGUGUUCCUUCCAAAAGGUUGUAAUCGUAACACCAUUAUACGUUUGCCUUACAUAUACGUAUCGAAGGCAAUUAUACGUGAAGUUUUCAGUGGUAAACCUUUAUCAUGAUUUUUGGCAAAAUAUGCAUUGAAAUAUUUGGUAUUUAUACCUGCUCUAACUGCCACACUUAAAAUGAUCGCAUUACCAAAAAGCUUUAAAAUUACGACGAAAAUGAUCACCUGAACACUAUUUUAGACUUAAAUAAUCAAUUUACAUAAUCGCGCCUGUAACUUAAGAAGCCUCUCCAAGCAAAUAUUCAGCAAUCAAUUCAACCAUGACCUACUUAAAUACUAUGGCUGUGCAUACAAGUUAACAUGUAAUAUAAUGUGAUUCACAUAACUACUGAAAACCACACUAUGGCGCAUAGGCGUUUGCACGUCACAGGAUUAAAGAUCUUAACUACAA